rnacentral:lncRNA from 1 species
GUUUUUGCCGUUGGAUCAAUGACAUUUCAUUGACAACACCCACAAUUUUAACACCACCUGAUCUUUGCUCAGGUGAUUUACAGUCAGCAUGUAAGCAAAUUGUAAUUUAUUGUAAAGCAUUAUCAUCUGUAUUUUAUAGGCCGACUGGGACAUCUACAGCUUUCACAUCAACUCCACAGUGACCAGUCGUUACGCUACAACAGUCAUCACAAGCCGCGUAGCCAAUCGAAUGAACGAAUCCAAGGAAGUAGAAUUCCAAGUACGGAUUUCCAAGAAUGCUUUCAGUAAAAAUCAGUAAAUUCAGAAUGUGUAUAAAUUAACAGAUGUAAAUAUUUACAUAGAUUUACACAUGAACAAUAAAAGAGUAACAAAUCAUGGGACAUCAACAACAUCAGGACUGUUGUUCCCCAUAAUUUCUUCAAGUUUAUAGACGGCAGAUGUACAAUGGUGUUGUGAAAACCAAGGAACAAGCUCAGCAGCAGUACACUGCACCCACCAAAAUCUACCACUUUAUGUGGUAAAGAUGUGACAUUUGUUCACUGUCUUUUUCUGGUAAUUGUUUAAAUAACCGUCUUUGUUACUACAGGGGUGUCAAACCAUGAAAAAUACAGUCCAAUGUCCAAAAGGCCAUUGCAGGCAAAUUUCCUCUCUACUGUCUUGGUUUUCGCGUCAAUUUUGAAUUCCUUGAGAAGAUGUCAUUGCAGAACAACGGUGUAGCACGACGGAUCUAUGAGGACUCUGAUGCUGACUUACAGCUGGAGGUAGUUAGAAAGACUUGGCUCCUUUAUGUUAUCAUUACUGAGGACUGUUCAAUCAAGAUUCCUGCACUGUCCAUUCACAGGGUUUCUAUGAAGAGGUGGCCACUCCUCUGUUGACCAAUGUAACCAUGAUGUACACAGGAGGCAUCAAUCUGACCCAGACUCACUUCACACAGUAUUAUAAUGGCUCUGAGAUUGUGGUGGCUGGUCAGAUCACUGACAAUGACAUCGAGACCUUCACUCCAGAAGUUAUAGCCAUUUCAGGAACAGGCAGUGUGAGGUUUUCUGACACUAAUCCCACUGUGGAAUCGGCUGACACAGUGUCUGAUCUUCAGAGGGUUUGUGUCACAAAACUCCUGGAAGAAGGACCCAAAUGCACAGCGUGAACGUGAGAAAGGCGUAGGUCAUACACGAUACAGGCAAGGCGGGAACUGACAAGGUGGAGGCAAAGUGAG